GCGCCGAUUAGAGCGCAGAGGACGACGGCAAGGAUCAUGAUCACGUGGGCGUUGAAGGAGUUCCUCUUAUGCGAGGCCGGCGCGGCAACGGGAGCCACCGAGUCGACCCGUGGACCGUGAAGCAACAGCCUCUUCGGGGCCACUUCUUUGAGUAGUGGUUGAAGGCCACAUGGAGCAGCUGUAAGAGCGGAAGAAGACAACAUUGUUGUAG
rnacentral:lncRNA from 1 species